ensembl:lncRNA
UUCUGCUCAUCCUCAUCAUUCUGCCUGGAAUAUAAUUUUCCUGGAAGAGCCUUUUCUUCUGAGAUGAAGAGACCGUCAAAAGCAGUGCCGUAGCCACUGCCUCCUAUUCCUUCACCUCAUUUUCCCUGUUCCUGCCUUAAUCCUCUCUCCCUUGGUGACUUCGUCUCUAUGAGAAUGAAUGUUAUCCCAUUCCAAGUCUUCAAUCAAUGUGUUCUAAAAGGAGAGAGAGCCUAAGAGUAUGAGUCAACUUUAUUCCUGGUCAGGAUUAGAUUUAUUGAGAGAGAUAGACAAAGUGUGGGCCAUCUCAGAAGGCAAGUGCGGCCUGGAAAAUAUACAUUCCACAGAUAGGAUAUGGUGUGUCUCAAAAGGCGGGAGAGAGGCCCUGGGAGAACACACUCCACAGACAGAGUGUGGACAGUCUCAGAAGGUGUUAAAUCCUAAUAAACAUCUUGGAUCCCCAACUCAGAUUCCACACUUGUGGAAACUCAAACUUGUGGCAAGUUGGAAGCUGUUGAAGGAUUUAAGGCAAAAAUCUAAAUGAUGUGACAGUUUUUAGAUCACUCCAGCAACUUCCUAUUGAGAGAAUGGACUGUGCAAGGGAAAAAUGAAAACAGUUCCGGGCAGUCUACAGAUCAGGAUCUGGCACUUUCAUCACUGAUCCCUGGUUCAAUCCCUGGUCUGAGAACUGAGAUCCCACAUCUAGCUGCUGUAUGCAGUGGCCAAAAAAAAAAAAAAAAAAAA